GAACAGAGUAUGAAGUUUAUCAUGAUAUUCAGCAGUCAUUUUUUGAAGAGGCUAAAAGUUGCCAUACUGUUUGCCUCAAGACCCAUCAUUAUUAUGAAGACUGGAGCCAGAUUAAUAAUCAACAAAAUAUUUUUGUAAAGAAUUAUCUAGAUUGGUUGAAACAGUUGGUUCCCUGUAUCAGACCAUUUCCACUUUACCAAUUACUUCUGGAUUCCAUGUAAUUUGCACUGGUAGAAGAAUCUACUUUGACCUGUCCCAUUCAGAAAGACUCAGCUUUAUAACCACAGCAGACCAAUGGACCUUUACUGAUGAUUAGUAAUGAUAACAAGCCAACAUUUCUUUAUAUCCCAUCAGGUACAGUGUUAAGGACUUUUAAGGCAUCUUUUUAUUUAAUCCCAUGAAAAGGAAAUACCACUUACGGAUGUGAUGAGGACUCUAGAAGAUAAGACAGAAAGAACACUGAAAACCACGCCCAUCUGGGUGCACAUUAAGCCUUGGUGAAGAAGGUGGCCAUGAUUAUAAUCAGUUACUUCCUUUCUUUUAAAAGGGGAAGUGGGAGUAGGCUGGUAAUGGAUGAUUGACCUCAAUAUUAACUCACAUAUUUUACCUGAUACUAUUUCUAAUCUUCUGCGAAACUCUAUCCAGUCCUGUACAGAUUCUCUUAAGUGAUUUCAACAUGAAUUAUUCUCUUUCACUGCUGAUCUAGGCUUGUUUUGGGUAAGAGGCCGAUUUGAAAGCUUAGCACAAAAAGAAGAGAACACACCGACAAUAAUAAAGAGCAAGGCUGGCCCAGCAUGAUCAGCGACUUGCCUCUAACGUGCUGAGGCAACAGCUGCACUAUUUGAACACCAGGAACAAACAAGCCACAGCAGCUCCUGCAAGACGAUGAUGUGCAUUUCAGUAAGAGUCCAGACAAUCUAUUACAGGGAGACAAGGGGAUCAGCCCAUUAACACUCAGCAUUCUCGGCUUGUUUACUGAGAAGCUGGAGGAAGAAGGCUGUGACUAGCAAAAAAUGGUUCAAUAGCAAACUUAAUCUUGAUGUGCAACUUCCUUCACUGAAUCCAAGAAUUUCCACCCAGCAGUGAUCUUGACUUAUAGUAAUGCUUUCCCAAGUCUCAUCUCUAGUGGGUGAAGGGGGGGGGGGGCUCUGCUUUCCUUUAACUUGACGCCAAGAAUGUCAGCCGGUGGUAGGUCAUCUUUUCAGUUAAUUAAUUAUAGUAUGUGAUAUUGGAAAUGGCAUAUAAGAAAAUAA